rnacentral:lncRNA from 1 species
AUCAAAAGUCAAACACUAAGCUCCAGAACAUCAGGGUAGUCCACUCCUGAACCCCAGCAGGCCUCUUCCAGAGCAGGGGGAUUUCCCACCCACUCUGCCUGCUCAGGGCUCACAGAUUGGGAAGAGAGGGGAGAAGGCCUCUAUCCCUACUCUCUCAUUCUAUAACAUCUCGCAACAAGAAACAUAAAUUGCUCUGUUCCACCUCAAGGGUGGGGAAAGGCAGCACUACAUGAGGUCCAGUGACCCCAACACAUACACACAGAUGCACAGAAAGAGAGAGAUAGAUAGAUACUGAGAGCACAGCGCUGAGAGUGGAAUGUAGUCAAACACGGGGGAGGAUCAGUAAAGAAAGGACAUGAGGGAGAGAGAGAGAGCGAGCGAGAGAGAGGAGGGAGAACGAGAGAGGGGGGAGAGAGAGCGGUGAGAGAGAGAGCAGGUG